CUUUCUUCUGGCACUCAAAAUUAUAAUAUUUCUAAACCUACUUCAGGUAACGCUGCCCAAAAAACAUCCUACAGGAUAGUGACUGCCAACUAAAGCCAUGGGAGCAACAAUGGCUACAGUUACUAAGUAGGACUCUGUGUACAAACUCAACAGUCAGUCUACAAAGUCCUGUACCUUCCAGAGUUAAACCAUCUCACUUUGAUUCACUUAAACAAUUUAAAUACACUAAUAUGUGAAGCUGAAAUCCUUUUUUUUUUUGGAGGAGGUGGAAUCAGCAGAUGGAUAAAUCAAAACAAAAGCAGAAGGAACGCUGAAUUUCUCAGAAAGGGGGUUCACAAUGGCACAUUUUUUAAUAUGCAGAAAUGAAUAGUUAACAACCCAGUUAUGUCUUUUGCCCCCACCUCCACCCCGUGGUUUAAAAAGCGGUGAAGAGUGCAGUGGGAGUAUUUUGAUUUUGAUGCCCCUUGCACAGGGAACCUGUUCUGACACAUUCUUGUGGUGUCCAGUAUAGGAAUUUAACCUGAGUAGAGAUCAGCUUAAGUGUUAAUAUUUCAGAUGCUAGGAAUCCCCUGCAGGCCUAAGCCAAAAGAGUUUUUAAAUGAAUAUCUCUGUCCAGUGCUCCCUCCCCGCAAUGAGCCUUUGAACAGCAAAAAAGAGAAAAUUCUCAAAGGACAGCGUCUGUGCCUGAGCUGGUACUCAUGGGAGAGGUGAGGAAUAAAACCAACCCAGAGAGAGUACCCCCAGCUUUGUAAAAGAGAGGGAGAAGUAAGAAAUUAGAAUGCCACGGAGGUGGCAUGAGAGAAAAGAAAAUUCGGGCCCUUUCUAGCAAUAAGAUGACGAGGAAAGGAAGAACGCCUGUUCAAGGGGGGCUGUCCCAACAAGGGGAGGGAGUGGACUAGGCCGGAGGGAGACCGGGGUAGAACGUCGGCGCACAAACAAGCUGGAGGGGGAGAAUAAUGGUGACCCCGCACCCAGAACCGGCUCCAGGCCAGGCCGCCAGCUCGGGGGCAACUUUGCUGGGGAGGAGGGUCCUGGACUAAAUCAGACUUUUUACUCAGACCUAAUGAAGACUUCUCCUUUCACCACCUCCAACCAGCCACAGAAUUGUAUGAAAUCAUCAAGGGAGUGAAAGCAGUUUAAGAAGAGAAACCUAAGGACCAUGCCUUGGGGCACUCCAACAAUGAGUGGCCAAAGAGAGGAGGAGGAACCAGCAGGAGAAGACCAAGAAAAAACAGAGAGGUAAGAAGAAAUCCGGAAGAAUGUUUCAAGGAAGAAGGAAAGAUUGUGUCAAAUGCUUCUGAUUGGUCAAGGAACAAGAGGACUGAAACUUAACCCAUCAGAUAAAAUAAGAAAUGCUUAAUAAAAUAGUUCUCUUGCUUAGUUUAGAUGUGUUCGUUUAGACUUCUCAACUAAUUACAAGCCUGAAAAGGGCAGGAGUUUUUGUCCCAGAGACCUGUCUCCUACUCCCCUUGCACCACCAUGCCUCUCUUCCCUUCUCCCCUACACCCUCACCUCCUACCCCAAUCCCCAGACACCUCCACUCUGGCUUUGCUGAGGUCUGAAGGUUGACUUAGCAACCAAGGGACCCUUGAGCCUGAGCUGCAGCACCAGAACAAUGUCUUAGGUGAGUCAUUGCUUCCCAGAUUUGGCAAAGGGAAUAAGUUACCACCACCUCUCUGAAACAAAGAGGAUGGAACGGAUAAACUGGGGGUGGUGGA